AAAAAACAAAAAAAAAAAAAAAAAAAAAUAAAACAAAAAAAAAAAAAAAAAAAACAAAAAAAAAAAAAAAAAAAAAAAAAAAAACAAAAAAAAAAAAAAAAAAAAAAAAAAAAAAAAAAAAAAAAAAAACAAAAAAAAAAACAAACAAAAAAAAAAAAAACAAAAAAAAAAAAAAAAAAAAAAAAAAAACAAAAAAAUAAAAAAA
rnacentral:lncRNA from 1 species